CCUGAGUGGCUUAGGCCUAACUCCCUAAACCCAUAGUGAACGAUACCUAGCGUUGCUUCGGCUGGAUCGCCCGGGCGCCUUGCAGUACCCCUGAUCCAUGGCGGCACGCCGGGGACUCUUACUACUUGUUUUAUCUUCUGAGUACUUUUUACAAAUAAGUAA
rnacentral:misc_RNA from 1 species